rnacentral:tRNA from 1 species
GCCGAAGUGGUGGAAUUGGCAGACGCGCCGGACUCAAAAUCCGGUGGGCUAAUAACCCGUGCGGGUUCGACCCCCGCCUUCGGCACCA